rnacentral:misc_RNA from 1 species
AGCGGGGUAGUCGCCGAGGCGCUCGGGGGACACGGUCGCCCAUGUGGGAUCGGCGGUCUCGGGCACUACGAACUGAACGCCGAGCUCCUGGAAGUACGAGAGAU